rnacentral:rRNA from 1 species
GUGGGGAAUAUUCCGCAAUGGACGAAAGUCUGACGGAGCAACGCCGCGUGAGUGAUGAAGGUUUUCGGACUGUAAAGCUCUGUUGUUUAGGACGAAAGUGCCUGUUGCAAAUAGUUACAGGUAUUGACGGUACUGAACGAGGAAGCCACGGCUAACUACGUGCCAGCAGCCGCGGUAAUACGUAGGUGGCAAGCGUUGUCCGGAAUUAUUGGGCGUAAAGAGCAUGUAGGCGGGAAUCUAAGUCUGUUGUGAAAAUGCGGGGCUCAACCCCGUAUUGCGAUGGAAACUGGGUUUCUGGCGUGCAGGAGAGGAAAGGGGAAUUCCCAGUGUAGCGGUGAAAUGCGUAGAUAUUGGGAGGAACACCAGUGGCGAAGGCGCCUUUCUGGACUGUGUCUGACGCUGAGAUGCGAAAGCCAGGGUAGCGAACGGGAUUAGAAACCCCUGUAGUCC